CCUACGGGAGGCAGCAGUCGGGAAUUUUGGGCAAUGGGCGAAAGCCUGACCCAGCAACGCCGCGUGAAGGAUGAAAUCCCUCGGGAUGUAAACUUCGCAAGAACGGGAAGAAUUAGUGGAAGUUAAUACCUUCCAUGAUGACGGUACCGUUUGUAAGCUCCGGCUAACUCCGUGCCAGCAGCCGCGGUAAUACGGGGGGAGCAAGCGUUGUUCGGAUUUACUGGGCGUAAAGGGCGCGUAGGCGGCGUCCGCAAGUCAGUUGUGAAAUCUCCGAGCUUAACUCGGAAAGGUCAACUGAUACUGCGGGGCUAGAGUGCGGAAGGGGCAACUGGAAUUCUUGGUGUAGCGGUGAAAUGCGUAGAUAUCAAGAGGAACACCUGCGGCGAAGGCGGGUUGCUGGGCCGACACUGACGCUGAGGCGCGAAAGCUAGGGGAGCGAACGGGAUUAGAUACCCCGGUAGUCCUAGCCUUAAACGAUGAAUGCUUGGUGUCUGGGGUUAUAUAGUCCCCGGGUGCCGUCGCUAACGCUUUAAGCAUUCCGCCUGGGGAGUACGGUCGCAAGACUGAAACUCAAAGGAAUUGACGG
rnacentral:rRNA from 1 species